AGAGUUUGAUCCUGGCUCAGAUUGAACGCUGGAGGCGUGCUUAACACAUGCAAGUCGUGCGAGAAAGGGACUUCGGUCCUGAGUAGAGCGGCGCACGGGUGAGUAACGCGUGGGUGAUCUCCCUUGGUGAUCGGGAUAACAGCGGGAAACUGCUGCUAAUACCGGAUAAUCUUCAUGUUUAACUUCAUGGGGUAAAGGUGGCCUCUGCUUGCAAGCUACCACACCGAGAUGAGCCCGCGUCUCAUUAGCUAGUUGGUAGGGUAAUGGCCUACCAAGGCUACGAUGAGUAGCUGGUCUGAGAGGAUGACCAGCCACACUGGGACUGGAACACGGCCCA
rnacentral:rRNA from 1 species